CGCGGCCUAUCAGCUAGUUGGUGGGGUAAUGGCCUACCAAGGCAUCGACGGGUAGCUGGUCUGAGAGGACGAUCAGCCACACUGGGACUGAGACACGGCCCAGACUCCUACGGGAGGCAGCAGUGGGGAAUCUUGCGCAAUGGGCGAAAGCCUGACGCAGCAACGCCGCGUGCGGGAUGAAGGCCUUCGGGUUGUAAACCGCUUUCAGCAGGGACGAAAUUGACGGUACCUGCAGAAGAAGCCCCGGCCAACUACGUGCCAGCAGCCGCGGUAACACGUAGGGGGCGAGCGUUGUCCGGAUUUAUUGGGCGUAAAGAGCUCGUAGGCGGCUCGGUAAGUCGGGUGUGAAACCUCCAGGCUCAACCUGGAGACGCCACCUGAUACUGCUGUGGCUAGAGUCCGGUAGGGGAGUGUGGAACUCCUGGUGUAGCGGUGAAAUGCGCAGAUAUCAGGAAGAACACCAGCGGCGAAGGCGGCACUCUGGGCCGGAACUGACGCUGAGGAGCGAAAGCGUGGGUAGCAAACAGGAUUAGAUACCCUGGUAGUCCACGCCGUAAACGUUGGGCACUAGGUGUGGGUCUCAACCAACGGGAUCCGUGCCGCAGCUAACGCAUUAAGUGCCCCGCCUGGGGAGUACGGCCGCAAGGCUAAA
rnacentral:rRNA from 1 species